rnacentral:rRNA from 1 species
AGGGAUCAUUACCGAGUUUACAACUCCCAAACCCCUGUGAACAUACCACUUGUUGCCUCGGCGGAUCAGCCCGCUCCCGGUAAAACGGGACGGCCCGCCAGAGGACCCCUAAACUCUGUUUCUAUAUGUAACUUCUGAGUAAAACCAUAAAUAAAUCAAAACUUUCAACAACGGAUCUCUUGGUUCUGGCAUCGAUGAAGAACGCAGCAAAAUGCGAUAAGUAAUGUGAAUUGCAGAAUUCAGUGAAUCAUCGAAUCUUUGAACGCACAUUGCGCCCGCCAGUAUUCUGGCGGGCAUGCCUGUUCGAGCGUCAUUUCAACCCUCAAGCCCUCGGGUUUGGUGUUGGGGAUCGGCGAGCCUUUCUGGCAAGCCGGCCCCGAAAUCUAGUGGCGGUCUCGCUGCAGCCUCCAUUGCGUAGUAGUAAAACCCUCGCAACUGGAACGCGGCGCGGCCAAGCCGUUAAACCCCCAACUUCUGAAUGUUGACCUCGGAUCAGGUAGGAAUACCCGCUGAACUU